GUGCGUCUGCCGCAUAAGAAGAGGUGUUCACACAGACAGAGCUGCUUUUUCAUCCACAGCGAGUAAAUAGUGAACCUCCAGGAGAGAUACAAACUAAAGUAUCGAUCAUAUACCACUACCAACGUUUGGAUCGAUAUCUGCAUCGAUCUGCACACCCUUGUCUCCUGGAUCGUAGCUGAGAUCAGCGUGAACCACGUGGGUCUCUGCUCCCUGACCUGUUUCCUGUGUUUGGAAAGAGUUCCAGCUUCAUCUCGGAGUUUCUCUCGGUUUGUGGGCUCAUCUAAAGGACCAACGUGGAUCGAGAAGUCAGCGCUCUCAGGAGGCCGACAAUUUUGUUGAAGAAAGAAGUGGAUGAAAAAAAUACAACCGUGACGAGUUUGGGAAAGAUUUCACUGUGAAAGCUUCCCUAAAAAUGCAUCAGGUCAUCCACACAGGAGAGAGACCGUUCAGCUGUGGAGACUGUGGAAAGUCUUUUACCACGUCUGGACACUUAAAAACACACAAACUCAUCCACAGUGGAGAGAGACCGUUCAGCUGUGACGAGUGUGGAAAGUCUUUUACGCAGUCUGGAAGCUUAAAAACACACCAACUCAUCCACAGUGGAGAGAGACUGUUCAGCUGUGGAGACUGUGGAAAGUCUUUUACGCAGUCUGGAAACUUAAAAACACACCAACUCAUCCACACCGGAGAGAGACCGUUCAGCUGUGGAGACUGUGGAAAGUCUUUUACCCUCUCUGGAAACUUACAAACACACCAACUCAUCCACACCGGAGAGAGACCGUUCAGCUGUGGAGACUGUGGAAAGUCUUUUACCCUCUCUGGAAACUUAAAAACACACCAACUAAUCCACACUGGAGAGAGACUGUUCAGCUGUGGAGACUGUGGAAAGUCUUUUACCCAGUCUGGAAGCUUAAAAACACACCAACUAAUCCACACUGGAGAGAGACCAUUCAGCUGUGACGAGUGUGGAAAGUCUUUUACCCACUCUGGAAACUUAAAAACACACAAACUCAUCCACACUGGAGAGAGACCGUUCAGCUGUGGAGACUGUGGAAAGUCUUUUACCGAGUCUGGAAGCUUAAAAAGACACCAACUAAUCCACACUGGAGAGAGACCAUUCAGCUGUGACGAGUGUGGAAAGUCUUUUACGCGCAUUUCACACUUAAAAACACACAAACUCAUCCACAGUGGAGAGAGACCGUUCAGCUGUGACGAGUGUGGAAAGUCUUUUACCACGUCUGGAAACUUAAAAUCACACCAACUCCUCCACAGUGGAGUUAAAGCGUACACCUGUGAUCAGUGUGGCAGAGCUUUUACUCACAGUAACAACUUACAGAGUCAUCUAGUUACCCACUCUGGAAUUAAGGCGUACAGCUGUGACAUUUGUGGAAAAACUUUCAGCCGGAUAGGGAGCCGAAAUACACACCUACGCAUUCACACCAGACAUGAUGCGUACAGCUGUGAUCAGUGUGGUAAACAGUUUACCACAAACACAGAGUUACGACGUCACAUGUUUACCCACACUGAGGAACGACCUUAUAAAUGUGACCUGUGUGAGAAGACUUUUAAAUCUCCACGUUGCCUGAAAGCACACCAACAGAUCCACACCAGAAAGACUCUACAAGUGCAGUUACUGUGAGAAGCAGAGCGACACAGAUGGAUCAAGUUCUCAACCCUGUCAUCGCUGUGGGAAAGACUUUUGUUGUGACCUUUGUGGAAAAACUUUAAGUCAUUGAAGGACUCUGAAAAUACAUCAACGUAGACACACUGGAGACAAAAUGUAAAGAAUGCGGGAGAGGCUUCGCCACUUCAAAGGACUUCAAACAAUAUGAACUCCUUCACAGUGGCGUUAAAAAGCAUGUCUGCGAUCAGUGUGGGUCAUCCUUCAUCAGUGCAUGUCAGCUUGAAAAGCAUAAACGAGUCCACACAUGAGAGAAACCAUACAAGUGCAGACACUGUGACAAAACCUUUUCACAAUCAUGUGAUCAUACUAAGCAUGAACGCAGACACAUGAAAGAGAACUUCAUCUGUGAAAGAGUUUGAGUAAUCUCAGUUCAUACUCCACUCAGAAACGAUUCCAUGUUACAAAUAAACUGUUACGUCUUGAUUCCUGCUUUUACGUUAAUCUUGUAAACAGUACAUUUGCAUAACGACUGAAACCGGCCCAAUGAAUGAACAAUGGGCUGUGAGGUCAAUUUCUUCAUCAUUAAUAUGCAAAUUCUUAUGAGCAUUGAUCAACAACCACUGGUCAAUGGCCAUGAGUACCAUUCACAGAGUAAAAAUUUGCGUAAUGAUUAUGAAGUUUACUGUUACCAAUGUUCAAAAACAUUUACUAAAUUAUCUUCUCUGUGCAAACAUCAGCGUGAUGCAGGACUGAAAUCAUUGCCAUCUCUGGAUCACAGUGAAUCUGCAGAGACAGAAAGAUCCUCUUCUGGUUUCAGGGUCAGACUUAAACCCUUGAGAUCAGGCUCCACAGAGUUCAGGUGGAGUCUUCUGUAAAGAUCUGAUGAGGCCGCUAUGAAUGAAAGUGUGCCUCUUGUUACAUUUUAAGCGUUCUAAACUGUUCUACUGUAGUGUUUGUGUUGAGUGGUUCGCUUUGUUCCAGCAGUUUGAUUAAGAAAUCUAUUUCCUGUUAUAUUUUUAUUGAAUGCAUUGAUCCAUGUGUUCUGCAGUUUUUUUUUUCAGUUUGUUUGUGUA